GAUGAACGCUGGCGGCGUGCCUAAUACAUGCAAGUCGAGCGGACGGGCGUGAAACCUGCUUCUCUGAUGUUAGGUGCGGACGGGGUAGUUAACCGUGGAUAACCUACCGAUAAGACUGGGAUAACUUAGGGAAACCGGAGCUAAGACCGGAUAAUAUUUUGAAACGCAAGGGUCAAAAAUGAAAGAAGGUCUUUCUGUCACUUAUAGGUCGGUCCGCGGGGGAUUAGCUAGUUGGUAAGGUAAAGGCUUUCCAAGGCAACGAUGCAUAGCCGAGCUGAGAGGGUGAUCGGCCACACUGGCACUGAGACACGGUCCAGACUCCUACGGGAGGCAGCAGUAGGGAAUCCUCCGCAAUGGGCGAAAGCCUGACGGAGCAACGCCGAGUGAGUGAUGAAGGUCUUCGGAUCGUAAAACUCUGUUAUUAGGGAAGAACAUAUGUGUAAGUAACUGUGCACAUCUUGACGGUACCUAAUCAGAAAGCCACGGCUAACUACGUG
rnacentral:rRNA from 1 species